GUACGGCCGCAAGGUUAAAACUCAAAUGAAUUGACGGGGGCCCGCACAAGCGGUGGAGCAUGUGGUUUAAUUCGAUGCAACGCGAAGAACCUUACCUGGUCUUGACAUCCACGGAAGUUUUCAGAGAUGAGAAUGUGCCUUCGGGAACCGUGAGACAGGUGCUGCAUGGCUGUCGUCAGCUCGUGUUGUGAAAUGUUGGGUUAAGUCCCGCAACGAGCGCAACCCUUAUCCUUUGUUGCCAGCGGUCCGGCCGGGAACUCAAAGGAGACUGCCAGUGAUAAACUGGAGGAAGGUGGGGAUGACGUCAAGUCAUCAUGGCCCUUACGACCAGGGCUACACACGUGCUACAAUGGCGCAUACAAAGAGAA
rnacentral:rRNA from 1 species